rnacentral:rRNA from 1 species
AUUGAACGCUGGCGGCAGGCUUAACACAUGCAAGUCGAGCGGGGGAAGGUAGCUUGCUACCGGACCUAGCGGCGGACGGGUGAGUAAUGCUUAGGAAUCUGCCUAUUAGUGGGGGACAACAUCUCGAAAGGGAUGCUAAUACCGCAUACGUCCUACGGGAGAAAGCAGGGGAUCUUCGGACCUUGCGCUAAUAGAUGAGCCUAAGUCGGAUUAGCUAGUUGGUGGGGUAAAGGCCUACCAAGGCGACGAUCUGUAGCGGGUCUGAGAGGAUGAACCGCCACACGGGGACUGAGACACGGCCCAGACUCCUACGGGAGGCAGCAGUGGGGAAUAUUGGAAAAUGGGGGGAGCCCUGAUGCAGCCAUGCCGGGUGUGUGAAGAAGGCAUUAUGGUUGUAAAGCACUUUAAGCGAGGAGGAGGCUACUCUAGUUAAUACCUAGGGAUAGUGGACGUUACUCGCAGAAUAAGCACCGGCUAACUCUGUGCCAGCCGCCGCCGUAA